rnacentral:rRNA from 1 species
AACGAACGCUGGCGGCGUGGCUAAGACAUGCAAGUCGAACGAACUGGUCAAUUUAUUGAGCAGUUAGUGGCGAAAGGGUGAGUAAUGGAUAGGUAACGUGCCCUGUGCUCCGGAACAGCGUCGUUCGCCUUCGGGCGAACUACCGAAAGGGACGGUAAUACCGGAUAAUAUCAUUUGUCGAUGGGCAUUUGAUCAAAGAUUUAUCGGCGCGGGAGCGGCCUAUCUCCUAUCAGCUUGUUGGUGAGGUAACGGCUCACCAAGGCGGCGACGGGUAGCGGGACUGAGAGGUUGGCCCGCCACAUCGGGACUGAGACACUGCCCGGACCUCCACGGAGGGCUGCAGUAACGAAUCUUGCGCAAUGGGCGAAAGCCUGACGCAGCGACGCCGCGUGUAGGAGGAAGUCUUUCGGGAUGUAAACUACUGUCAGGGGUAAGAAAGUCCGCUCCGGCGGAUUGAUCUAACCCA